rnacentral:rRNA from 1 species
UACGUAGGGUGCAAGCGUUGUCCGGAAUUAUUGGGCGUAAAGAGCUCGUAGGCGGUUUGUCGCGUCUGCUGUGAAAACUCGGGGCUUAACCCCGGGCCUGCAGUGGGUACGGGCAGACUAGAGUGCGGUAGGGGAGACUGGAAUUCCUGGUGUAGCGGUGAAAUGCGCAGAUAUCAGGAGGAACACCGGUGGCGAAGGCGGGUCUCUGGACCGAUACUGACGCUGAGGAGCGAAAGCCAGGGGAGCAAACGGG